rnacentral:rRNA from 1 species
UACGGAGGGUGCGAGCGUUAAUCGGAAUCACUGGGCGUAAAGCGCGCGUAGGCGGCUUUUCAAGUCAGGGGUGAAAUCCCACGGCCCAACCGUGGAACUGCCUUUGAAACUGUAGAGCUUGAGUGUCGGAGAGGGUGGCGGAAUUCCAGGUGUAGGAGUGAAAUCCGUAGAUAUCUGGAGGAACACCGGUGGCGAAGGCGGCCACCUGGACGACAACUGACGCUGAGGUG